UACGAACUGUGCAAACGUUAUUCGGAAUCACUGGGCUUAAAGGGUGCGUAGGCGGCUGUCUAAGCAGGGUGUGAAAGCCCCCGGCUCAACCGGGGAAUUGCGUUCUGAACUGGACGGCUGGAGUGGGAUAGAGGUGUGCGGAACUUCCGGUGGAGCGGUGAAAUGUGUUGAUAUCGGAAGGAACGCCGGUGGCGAAAGCGGCACACUGGGUCUCAACUGACGCUGAGGCACGAAAGCGUGGGGAGCAAACAGG
rnacentral:rRNA from 1 species